AUUGCCUACAGCUAAAUGGCUGGCAAUCUGAGGCCUAGCUAAGUAUAUGAAGAAAAUGAAAAAUUUCCACUUGCAGCCAAAAGCAACCUCAAUUCCCACCCCCACCCCACACCUGUUUGACAACAAAGGCCCUGAGUAAACAACAGGAAAAGACAAUUUUUUUCUUCUCUAGCAGCAAGUCACAGACGCUAUUAGAAAAGUUGGUGGCUAUGCAGUAGAGAUACAAAAGUCUUUCCUUAAAUUUUGUUCAAAUCUUUUAUGAUUCUGCUUAGAUUCUGCCUUGAAAUAACAAGCCUCAUGUGCUAUUACACCAUGUAAAUAAUAGGUCCUGGGGCUUGGACUCAGGGCCUGAGCACUGUCCCU